rnacentral:rRNA from 1 species
UACGUAGGGUGCAAGCGUUGUCCGGAAUUAUUGGGCGUAAAGAGCUCGUAGGCGGUUUGUUGCGUCGGCUGUGAAAUCCCGAGGCUCAACCUCGGGUCUGCAGUCGAUACGAGCAAACUAGAGUGUUGCAGGGGAGACUGGAAUUCCUGGUGUAGCGGUGAAAUGACGCAGAUAUCAGGAGGAACACCAAUGGCGAAGGCAGCUCGCUGGGACGUGACUGACGCUGGAGACGCGAAAGCGUGGGGAGCAAACAGG